UUUUGAUUAUGUAUUAAUUCAAUAUGCUUCUAGUUUUCAAAAUUAUAUAAAAUGGCAUAUAUAGAGAAUUGCCACUCAAUCUUCUCUUUUCCCAUAUUAUUCUCACUUCUUGCCUGUGGUUAACUAGUUUCACUAGAUUCUGGUUAUCCUUAUGUUUAUUUUUAGAAACUAUAUAAGUUAUGUAAGUUAUAUAAUAAUUACUUGAGUUUUCCUUUUAAAUUUUUCCUGAUAAUCCAUAUUGGGCCAUAGAGAUCACCUUUAUUACUUCUGGCAUAGUAAUUCAUUGUGUAUAUAUAUUAGGUUGAUGCAAAAGUUAUAGCAGAUUUUGCAAUUACUUUAAAUGGCAAAACAGCAAUUACUUUUGCACCAACAUACAUAGUUUAAUCCAGGAGCUACUCAACCUGGGCCUCCUCUCCACUGAGGGCUUCACACUCAACAGGACAACCUGCCUGCAGAGAGGAGCUACCCACUGCAGGUCUCCUCUCAGCUGAGGGCUCCACAGAUGCCAGGAUGACCUGCCUGUGGAAAGCGGCUACCCUUCAGCUCUCCUGAGAGCCGUAGGUAAGUUAGUUUUGCAUAGUUUAUUCAAGCGCUUUUCUAUGUAUGGGCUUUUACAUAGUAUCCAAUAAUUUGUUAUAACAUAAUAUCCCAAUGCAUGCAGGCACACAUAUGUAUUUUCUUGCUGUUGGUGGUAUAUCUUGGAGCCGAAUUCCUAAAGUGAUACUGUUUGGUCAAAAGUUGAAUGUAUGUGUAGAUUGGGGUUAAGAUUGAUAGCUUUCCUUCUAUAGGUGUUGUACCAUUUUGCUUUCCCAUUAGCAAUGUGCAAGAAUGCCAGUUUCCCUGUAGCUCCACAACAGCUUGUGUUACCAAGAUUUUGGAUAUUUAACAAACUUGAAGUGUCUCAUUCCAUCACCCAGGAACACCUUGGCUCAUUGCAACUUCUGACCCGGCCUAGAUUAAAGUAACAAAGCCAUAUUAUUGAGGGAUAGAAGCUAGAAGUAGAGAUAGCUGCUGAAGUAUGACAGGAUGGGAAGGAGCCUGCCUGAGAUAUCAAGAAAGAAUUAACACAGUCAGGUAAGUAGUGAGUCUUUGUCAAAAGAAUUUGAGAGCUUGUCAAGCAGAUGGUUAAUGGGAAAGAUAUUUAAAUGCUAUCUAUGGUCAUAUUGGAUAAAAACCAAGAUGAUCUACUGCCAUAAAAAACAUUUUCAGUAAAGAACUCUCUAGUAUUUAUAGGAACCCAUGAAAUUAGUCCUAUUGAAACUGGGUACUGUAUUGCCAUGCCAUUCACAGUACCAAGAGAGGGACUUGAUACAGGAGGGUAUAAUAAUGCUUUUGACCUAAUCGAUGGAGCAAUAACAUUAUAACAACCAACAAAUCUCCAAAACAUAAACAAGAAAAUAAGGCAAAACCCUGCUUUAUAAGACUUAAACAAUAGCAUAUAAGAAAAAUGUCUCCUCUUACAUUUGUAUUUCGUCUCUAGCUCCUCAUAAACACUGAAGAGUAAAAGAGGAUAGAUAACUUGUAUUUUGUAUGUGGAAUGGCCUGCUGUCCUGAUUCAAAUGCCAACAUUACCAGCCAGUAAUUGUCAUUUCUCUUUGCUGCAGGCAACUCAUGGGAAAUGUCCUCUUUAAGCCUUCUUAGCAUUUCGGUUAUGCUGAUGUCACCAUACUUUUUGCUUUUUCACUAAUGGACUACAAGCUUCAUGAAGGACUCGAGCAUAUCUGAUUUGUUUCUUGUUUGUCAUUCUUUCUCAUAUGUAUAUUUGCAUAUAUUUGAAUGAAUGAAUGGUUAUCAGGUCACUGGCUAUGUAGAAUUGUAGCUCAGGGCUAUUUAAAGGGACAGAUAAUUUAAUGUUCAAAAUUAUUUGUUAGAGCAAAUUUAUUUUGGGAGAGUAUUAUAGCGACAGUGUUCUAGUAACAAACAAUAUGUAAAAACAGUAAAAAAAAGAAAGAUUUUAAUAUCUGUAAGAACGGUAAAAAAAUAUAGAUUUCAAUAUCUUUUAAGAGAUGAACAAACUAUUCAAUCCCAUUCACUGCAAGAAAAGCAUAGUCAUUUUUUGAUUUUUAUUUACUAAAUAAAACCGCAUCUUAAUUUGCUUUGAGUUUCUGAAUCUUCAACUGCUGUAGUUUGAGGAUCCAAAAUUUUAAUAGCAAAAGUGGCUUAUCUGCACAGACAUGUUCAGAGAACCAAAGAGAAGGAUCAGACACUUUGAAGUCAUAGCAUCCUUUUACACUUAGUUGUACACUAGGGUGUACUAAUCCACAAUUUCUUCUCCUUCUUAAAGAACAAAGAAGCUGACAGAAACAGCUCUCUAGGAUUAGUUCACAAUUACCUUAUUUCUCAGAUGUUUUUUUAAAAAACAGAGUAAAACAUACAUUUCUAAAACACAGAUGGCUAAAAAAGAGAUUAAUCUGUAGAAGUGUAGAGUAAGGAAUUGGCAUUUAUUCCUGUCUUCCAUAGCAUAAUUUCAGGAAAAGCCAAGUAAAUCAUUCAAGGUCUCUUCUGAAGGCCAUUAUAUUUUAAAUAACUGAUUAGGGCCAAGACUCGGUACUUUUAAGAAUCAUGAGAUUCUCAAAAUAUUUUUAAAUGGGUGUGUAUAUCCAGUAAGAGAUAAUGUUAAAAUUAUCCAGACACAAGGUUGUAUCAGUCAAGGUAGAACAUAGGGCUAGCAGGCCACUUCCAAGAGAUAGGAGAUUAAUGAUGGUUAGUAACUGUAAGUUUUGAUGGUUGAGUAAAAAGGCCAAGUUAUGUGAAAAUCACAAUCAAGCCUGGGGUUCUGAGUUUUUGGUUGGGUUUUAGAAACUAAAGUGGCGAAAAGC
ensembl:lncRNA